rnacentral:rRNA from 1 species
AAAUGAAUAGACGGGACCCCGCACAAGCGGUGGAUCAUGUUGUUUAAUUCGAUGAUACGCGAAGAACCUUACCAGGCCUUGACAUCUUCUGCAAAGCUAUAGAGAUAUAGUGGAGGCUAACAGAAAGACAGGUGGUGCAUGGUUGUCGUCAGCUCGUGUCGUGAGAUGUUGGGUUAAGUCCCGUAACGAGCGCAACCCUCGUUGCUAGUUGCCAUCAUUAAGUUGGGGACUCUAGCGAGACUGCCAGUGACAAACUGGAGGAAGGUGGGGAUGACGUCAAAUCAUCAUGCCCCUUAUGGCCUGGGCUACAAACGUGAUACAAUGGCUGCAACAAAGAGAAGCAACAGGGCGACCUCAAGCGGACCUCACAAAGGCAGUCUCAGUUCGGAUUGGAGUCUGCAACUCGACUUCAUGAAGCAGGAAUCGCUAGUAAUCGCAGAUCAGCAUGCUGCGGUGAAUACGUUCCCGGGGUUUGUACACACCGCCCGU